UGGGUUGUUUUGAGUCUAAAGGGGAGAGAGAGUAGUAAAAGAAGGGGAGGGAGAGAGAUCGCAGUUUUUGUGAUGAGAGGGUUCUUUCCCCAACUAAGAUCCGUUCUCGUCUCAUUCCACCCUUAGAAACCCUAAUUCACACAUUCAUAUCGUGUUUUUUUGCAGGUUUUUCAUUUUUAUGUAUUAAUUUACUGAUUCGUUUAUUGUUUGUUCAUGUCUUUGGUUCUAUAGUGAUCAAUCUUUGCACUUUGUUUUUUCACUCUGAAAAAAAGAAAAAGAAACCCUAAUUAUCAAUGGUUACGACUGCUAAAUCUUCUAACCAUCACUCGCCGCCUAGUGCUCCGUCAUCGGCGCAGCCCGGUGAAAGUAAUAGCCCUAAAUUCCAGCGGAAAAACCUUUCCUCUCCGUGGGCUCAGGUCGUUCGCGGCGGUGAGCCGGAAUCAGCGGCCAGCAUUCACCAAUCGCCGCCGCCGUCGUCAUCGUCGACGUCGUCCCUCGCUGCCGACCAAGCGCCGUCGUCUGAUUGUUCCCCAAGGGCGAUUCCGGCUUCGCCGCCGGUGGAUAAUUCUAAUUCGGGUGGUAUUGUAGAUAAUUCUGAUGGUAGUGAGGGCAAUGCGGGUCGUUCUAAGAGGCCCGCUUGGAACAAGGCUUCAAACGGCGGCGUCGAGGCUGGACCUGUAAUGGGCGCUGAAUCAUGGCCCGCUUUGUCUGCAUCCACCAAAGCUUCUGCUAAAUUGCCAGCUGACUCGUCCUCCAAGACUGUUGCCGAUGGAUCACUCUCCACUUCUCAGGGGUUGGUAACUUCGCAAUCUCCUCAGAAACAAGCUACUACUAAUGCAAAACCUAAUUCUGCAACAAAUUAUAGCAUGCCUAACAGACAAAGAUCAGUGAAGCGGGUGAGUGGCAGCAACCUUGGGUCUGGUCCUGCCCAGAGCAUUUUCUCCAACCCCCCCACAGCACCACCACCCCCACCAUUUCCUGUGUACCAGCUCCCUCCAGUUAGCUAUGCUAAUAUGGUACCAGUGAUUCCUGACCCUGCUCCAAGAGAUCAGUACCGGAGCAAUAACUGGGAUACUAGACCAUUAGUUGGGGGUUUUGUGCCUGCGAUGAAUGAGCAUCGGGGUUCUUCUCGCAGGGGUUAUUUUGGGCCCAAUCCACGAGGAGAUGGUUCCUAUCAUAAUAAUUAUGUUGGCAGACGGGAUCAGGAUCGUGGAAAUUACACGAAUACUAGAGAUGCUAAUGUACCCCAACCAAGGAUGCCUCCAAGAGGGUUACUGAGGCACCCACCACCUAGUACUGCUGCAUAUGUGGGCCCUCAGCCUAUUGGACCAUAUGCUAACCCUAUUGGAUUUCCUGAGUUGUAUUACUAUCCAACAGUACCAUUGGAUCACUUUAGGGGCAUGCCAUUCUAUGCUCCUCCUCCGCCUACAGCAUUCUUUCCUGCACCAGAAUCUCCUCUGUCCAAUAUGAUAGUCAAUCAAAUUGAAUAUUACUUUAGUGAUGCUAAUUUAGUGAGAGAUGAGUAUUUAAGAUCUAAGAUGGAUGAACAGGGUUGGGUUCCCGUUUCUUUGAUAGCAAGCUUCCCUCGACCAAUAUGGAUUAUUGAUGGUGGAAUCCUUAAGGAACUGGUCAAAAUUGACUGGGUGCUUGAGUGAGCUUUAGAUUCAUUGUUUGAUCUUCACCUUAUACUCUGGGAUCGUUUACAUGUCUCGGGCAGUUCAGCUAGUGGAUCACUAUUAUUAAUACAAACAUACAAGUUAUUGUAUCAUCAAGAAAAAUAAAGUUAGAAGUUUGACAAGCAGCACUCCGUUGAUAUUGGACUCCCUGAGAACUUCCACUAUUGUGGAAGUGCAGGGUGACAAGCUGAGGAGGCACAAUGAGUGGAUGAAAUGGCUGCCCUCUGCUCGGCAAAGUGCUGAUUCUGGUUCAGUAUCUCCUGUUGGAGCAAGACACAAUAACUUGGCAGCUGAUUUUCAAACUAAUACUCUGGAAGAAACAACUAAAGAUGAAGGUCCAACCAGUCAGUCUCAACUCUCAAAUGGCGGUGAUGCUACAGGGAGCAGCAGUUAAAACUGUACUUACAUAAUUUACACCACCCUAAAUUUCUUACCUUAUCCAGUGUCCAGUAUUCAGCCAUGUGGUCGUUGAUUUUAAGAGUUUUCCUUUUUUCCCAUUUUUUUAGGUAAUGAGAGCAGAGACUUGUAGAAGUUGAUUCUACAGUCUCGAUUUUGAUAGAAAUUGAGUCAGGUAGUGGUGACAAAUAAGAAUUAUUCACUAUUCUUACGGUCUAAAGAAAAAAAGAGAGAGAGAGAGAGAGAAGUAAUCAGACAUAAAAAAGAUACUCCAGAAUUUUGAUUGAGGCGGAUUUAAUGAGAUUAUUAAUUUGUAUAG